AGAGUUUGAUCAUGGCUCAGGAUGAACGCUAGCUACAGGCUUAACACAUGCAAGUCGAGGGGAAACGACAUCGAAAGCUUGCUUUUGAUGGGCGUCGACCGGCGCACGGGUGAGUAACGCGUAUCCAACCUGCCCAUCACUUGGGGAUAACCUUGCGAAAGUAAGACUAAUACCCAAUGACGUCUCUAGAAGACAUCUGAAAAGAGAUUAAAGAUUUAUCGGUGAUGGAUGGGGAUGCGUCUGAUUAGCUUGGUUGGCGGGUAACGGCCCACCAAGGCGACGAUCAGUAGGGGUUCUGAGAGGAAGGUCCCCCANAUUGGAACUGAGACACGGUCCAAACGUCCUACGGGAGGCA
rnacentral:rRNA from 1 species